rnacentral:misc_RNA from 1 species
UGCUCUCUACCCACGCCUGUUCAUCUACACGAGUCGGCUGGUCUGUCUACGCGUGCCCGUAUGUGAUACGAGGUCGAUCUGUCUUCGCUUGUGUGCCUCCCUCGGCAGCAUCUUUUCUCCUCCAUCCACCGGAUCGCACCCUGUCUUCCUUACUCCUCGCGCAUAAUCGCAGCGCACACGCACACGCAACCCCCUUCCAACAGAAGCGGAAGAGGAAGACGAGGAACCAUGCUGCGCAGCUCUCUCGUGAUGCGCGGCGGCUUUUCGCAGGAGGCUUUUCACCGAAUGACCAAGUACAUCACUUCUCGCAACCCGAAUGAGAAGUACCUGCGCACCGGUCACAUUGUUCUGGAGACACUGAAACGCUACCACUCGUACAUCCUGACGGUUGCUCUCAUCAGCGCCUUUACUGUGUACGACCACCACCAGAACCCGGAGAAAAUGCCGGGUGCUGUGCAUGAUGGCCGCUCCUUGGUGCUGUAGAUCUCGUGCUCUUGACGGAGCGCUUGACCGCCAGGCACUACGCUGACUCUUUGUUGUUGUUGUGCUGCGGGGAGCCCGGCGUGCUGUUAAGCUGUACGUACGCCGCCCGCGUCAGAGCUUCGGCUUGCGCACGUAUGUUGGGUUGGCUCUGUGUGUCUUCUCCACCCUCCACCCCCCAACACCACCUCGCUCUCUCUCUACGUCACUGCAGGCCUUGUUUCUGGGAUAGCUGUGAGCUACUUGAUGUGUGCUGUGAGUGUGUUUGUGUUCAGGCUGUCGUUGUUUGUUGUCUACAUCUCUCUCUCUCACACACGUUGCGCUGAGCCCUUUCCUGACGCGACUGUCGUUUGC